UACGGAGGGUGCAAGCGUUAUCCGGAAUCACUGGGCGUAAAGGGUGUGUAGGCGGGAAGUCAAGUCUGGCUUUGAAGACCGGAGCUCAACUCCAGAAGUGGGCUGGAAACUGGCAUUCUGGACCUCUGGAGAGAGAACUGGAAUUCCUGGUGUAGCGGUGGAAUGCGUAGAUACCAGGAGGAACACCAACGGCGAAGGCAGGUUCUUGGACAGAAGGUGACGCUGAGGCGCGAAAGUGUGGGGAGCGAACCGG
rnacentral:rRNA from 1 species